UCCCAGUUCGGAUUGUAGUCUGCAACCCGACUACAUGAAGCUGGAAUCGCUAGUAAUCGCGGAUCAGAAUGCCGCGGUGAAUACGUUCCCGGGUCUUGUACACACCGCCCGUCACACCAUGGGAGUCGGAAAUGCCCGAAGUCUGUGACCCAACCUACGGGAGGGAGCAGCCGAAGGCAGGUCGGAUGACUGGGGUGAAGUCGUAACAAGGUACC
rnacentral:rRNA from 1 species